UCUGGAUUUCCGCUGUUGAUAAACAUAAAAUGUUUUACAAGCAGCACAGUGGUCCGUAAGGCUUGCCAAAUCGACACUGGCAAAGUGCGCAAGGCUCGUUUUGCGGCGUUCGUUCCGGACAGUCAUAUCUGCACGAACCUGGGCAGCUCCCUAAUACUGUGUAAUUCAAUCACAUAAUUAAAUGGAUGACAUAAAGAAUCAGUAAGAAUCGCACGAGGCUACGGAAAGGAUCAAACGUUUUCCGUGGAUAACACGCAAAGUGAACGAAAGAGGAAUACUGUACUUACGUUCAGCCACGGUGUGAACAGCCAUCAAUGUCACGAUAACAAACAGAAGCUACCCGGAACCGGAAACGCGGUGGAUGGCGGUUAGAAAUGGUGAAAAAUGUUAGCGGUUUUGUUUAUGCACCAACUUCGGUAUCAAGUAUUUCAUUACCAUUACGAGUUGACGAUGCAUUUUUUUUUCAAAUAUCGAGAAAGAAUGUCUGCGUUCGUAUCCUAC